rnacentral:lncRNA from 1 species
GGAAAUAAAGUUAACCUUACAGUUAUUCUGAAAUAACCAUAAAAUUUAAAAUUUUACAGAGAGAGUUCAACCUUUUUACAAAACUAUGUACCUAACCGAAUGGUUCAUACAAAACUAUCUACAUAUGACCGAACGAUCCUAGUCUAAACAACCGGGUCCUCGUCAUCCAGAGUCUGCUCCAGCGAACACCCAUCUCCCUCUGCUCACACCCACAAGGUGAUCAUUGCAAAAAAGAAACAUCUAACAACAACAUAAACAAGAUAGAAAAGAAUGGUAAGAUAGAGUAAUUUAAUUAAUCAUACUAAUCAUACACAUAAAGCAAGUACAUAAGCAUACAACAACCAAACACUUAAAAUCAGGCAAUGAUUGAUCACUCAAACAGGUAAUGAUCGAACACAUUAAUUCAGGCAAAGACCGACCACUUGACUUGACCAUCCGAAUUGUAUGAAUAUGUAGCUUGAGGUUGUUCUUGCACCCGUGGGUGUAGUAACUGGAAACCCAUCAGCUGCCACCCGAGGUUAGUCUGUUAUACCUCACCCAAGAUACCCUCUGGGCUAGGACCUCUUGACAUUCUCACGACAUGACUUACCCAUCUCUACUUGAGAACUAGUAAUCAUUAAAAUUUCAAGAUGAACGUCGUGAAUUUCACUAUCCAAUUCAUACUUUACCAUUUCCAUGACCAUUCACUAAGACAUUCCUCCUUGGAAUUCUCUUCCAUACCAACUUGAAACAUACUACUUUAUUGAAAUAUUUAUUCACUUAUUCAUUCUCAGUAGAUUCAUAUAAUAAAUGUAAUAAGUUAUCAAAUAACCAUAAAAGUCACAUAAAAGAACGAGCACCCUGUGAAUGUUGGAAAACGAACGAUUUCUCACUACCCAAAGAACAGGACCGAGCGGAAGGGAUCAACUUAUCCUAUAAACAAGACCGAACGGAUAAUACUCAUAACAUGUAAAUAUGAUUGAACGGUCAUUCAAAGAGUAAGGAUCAAACAUGAGCCGAAUACAGUCUGAGGGUCGAACACUAGACCGACCAAAUACUAUUUAACUUAGACCGAAACUAAUACUUAGGAAGAACACGUAAGGCUUAGACUGCACACUAUGAACUUAGACCGAACACUCUAAACUUACACUGAAUACUCAGGUAGGACCGAUCACUAAAGCAUGAUCGAACGGUCAUUAACAGUAAGGCCCAUAAGAGACCGAACGCGGUUAAGACCGAACACCAAUACAAAUCGAGUACUAUUGUUAGACCAAAAACUUAUAUUAGACCAAAUACUAAUGCAAGACUGGGCGCUACUAAGAGACCGAAAGUUAGUAUAAGAUCGAACACUAUUUAAGAGACCGACCACCCACUUAAGACCGAAUGGUCAUGAACGGACAAGACUCUAAAGAGACCGAACUCAGUUAUGACUGAGUACAUGAACAUGGCCGAGCGGUCAACAUCGAACGCUCAGCUUUCUGCAUAAUUCUGCAUAACUUCUGUAGAAUUAUGGUCAUGCUAGCUUUUACCAAAACUAAAUAUUUUUCCCAAGUUCUAAUCCUCCAUACUUGAAUUUACAUACCAGUUUACACUUCACCAAGUAUGUCUAUACCUUUCUAACAUCAUUCUAAAGGAUUUCGUAUCAGAUUAAACCCCUAAAUUCUGUAGAAUCACAACUCAAUGACCAAAAAUCCAUUUUCCUACUUUUUACACAUUUUAGAGAAACUUAAAGGUUCUAACAGGUCUAAUUACACUUAUUCAGACUCUCUCCAUUGACCAAUUUCACUCUCAACCUCAAACUCUCAUUUUCUCAUACCCACUUUCUUAAGACUAGAACAGACCGAACACUUAUGCAAAGAGAAUCACUAAAGUUCACAGAUUCCAGCCUUUCUAGUUUCAAUCAAACAUUUGAUUUACACACAUGCAACCAUCCAAACAUGCAACCAACCAAACAUUAAAGUUCAUGCAUAAAGAAAUCAUAAUUAAAUUAACUAGCUUCCCUUACCUUAAAAAAUCUGGACAGCUUUACCUAAAAUUCCCAAAGUGAUGCUUGCACUGAAAGAAAUUCUAAGAACACCUAUAGAUCACCGAUCGGUGAAAGAAUACCAUGUGUAGAACCAAAAUUGAAGUCAGAAACAAGAAGAGAAAACUGAUGAACACAUGCAACCCUAAUUGUGCUGUGCAUGUGCCAAAAUUUUUGGAAUUUCACCAAGAACAGGAAAAUGAAGCUUAUCAGCUCUAAACUCAAUACUGUUCGAUAGGAAAUUCUUGACGCAAGGAUUCCUUAAGCACAACUUGAUUGUUUAAAAAGAUGAGUAAAGAUUGGAGAAAUCUAGAGAGAAUUGGUAGAAAAAAAGGAGGAAAAAAAAGAGAAGAUCAAAGUAGCAGAAAGAUGG